GGUUCGAGGCAACUAACCCAUCAAGUCUUAUCUGAAACCUUUUCUUCCAUUCUAUCUUAUCCCUUCUCAAAAAUUAUUCCCAAACUACUAAUUCCUCUAUAUCUCUUCAAUGAAUCACUUUCCAUUAUUCUCUCCUCUCUCUCUGAAAGAUAAACUAGAUUUUCACCAUCUAUAGACACCAAAUUUUGUCACAUUUUUUUCUAAUAUUUGACAUUUGCUUGAAUUUUGUCUAUUUAGAGGGUCAUUUAUUUUUAUGCAUUUAUUUGCCCAUUUUUCUUGUUUUGUAGAUUUUCUUUUGUUAUAAAAAAAAGAGGAGAGGAGAAGAAAAGAUUUUACAUGCUCUAAUCAUUUUUCCUAUCAAAAUCACUAUUAACUCAUUUUUACACUCAAUUCCCAUUUAUCUUUCUAUUUAUUUUGGUAAAAAUCCAUCAUGUUAUUCCAUGGAUCUUUCUUGUCAUUUGGUAAAGAAGUCCAUCAUUUUGACCAACCUAAUUCCCUAACUUCUCCCUGACACUCUCUCGGUUCACUUUGCACACACAAGCACACCAAGCACAAAAAACUCCCUCAAUCUCACAUUCCAAUUUUCCCAAAAGUCUCCAACUCACACUCGGCCCCUCUCAAUUUUUCCACACUCACACACAACAAAACUCUCUCGGCUCUCUCUUUCUUCCCUCUCUCAAUUUCACCAUAAUAACAACACACCCACACACAAAUCAAACACAAAGAGAGCAAACGAAACAUGGUCAAGGCUUCAAAUUGCAUCAAAAACUUCAACCAAGGAAUUGCCACUACACUGAGGUAAUUUUCUAGUUUUGUUUAGCACAUUAUAUCCAUGUUUCAGUGUUUAAUCUUCUCUUGCUUUCGAUUUUUCUUUUGUUGUUGGGUUGCUAAACUUUUGAGAUAGGUUAUGAACAAAAUUAUAAGGAAAAGAAUAGGAUUUUGGUAUGCAUGCUUCGUAUUCGAAAAAAUGUCCAAGUGAAAUCGAAUUAGAAGAUUAAUUUUGGUGUCUAUAUUUUGCUAAAAUAAAUGGGCAUAGCUAGUAUAGGGUUUGGAAAGGUUGCUUAAUUAAAUUCUUCCGAAUUUUUUAGUUUAAAAGGCAAUGAAAAUGCAUUUUUUUGUAGGGUUGUUUGUCUUUAAUUUAUCCUUUUGUUGUUGUUUUUUUUUGACAAACUAAGAUCAUAGUUGUAUUGUAGAAGUUAUAAGGAGUGUUAUAGUAUAAGUUUUAUGAUUUUGGUGAAGUUUGAGUGUUUUGAAGAAAAAAAAGGCUAUUUUUUGGCCAUUUCGCCACUUUUGGUUCAUUUUUUGUAAAAACUAAACCCAAAAAUAGAUUUUAUGUGAAAAAUCGAGUUGAGGUGUAUUUUAGUGAUUUUUCGUGACCGGAGAGGUUGCCGGCGACCACGUUUCACCGGAAGAAGAAGAAGAAAAAGGGGGAAGAAGAAAAGAAAAGAAAAAAAAAAGAAGAAAGGAAAAGGAAAGAAAAUAAAGAGAAUAAAAAUUGGACUAGUUUUUUUUUUUAUCUGGCGGGCUUGUUUCUUUAAUUUCAGUUGGGCUAGAGGUUUUUUUUGGCGCACUUUCGUUUGGACUUUGGGGCAAUUUUCCACUUGGACUUGUUUUUAUUUUCAUGAAAACAGCCCGCAUUUUUUCUUUGGAGCAGAGCAGUCCAGCCCAACCAAAAUAAAGGGCACAAUUUCGUUUAGUAGAAAAUGAAUUUUGCACUUUAGCUCUUGAUCUUUGGAGUAGUUUUACUGUGGCUCAGAAAAUUUUAGAUUUCUUUCAAUUAGCGUCCUUAAUUUAAUUAUAAUUUGGUCCCUAAAUUUAAUUUUGACCUCUAAACUCUUAAAAAUUUAUUUUUGCCUCCAAAAUUUUCUAAUUUUUGCAAUUUAGUCCCUCUCUGACUUGUUGACACUCUCUAUUAUGAUUGUUUCUUUUCUUUAAUAGGUAAUUAUAUUACUAUUAAAUGUAUUCAACUUGUAAUUUUUUAGAUAUCUUUAAGUUUCUUUAUGUCUGACAUAUUAUAAUAAAUUUAGUACUUUUAUUAUUAUUAUUUUCAAUUAAAUUGGUGCCAUGAUUCUUUUGUUUAUUUUGAUUAUAACUAGGGAAAUUUGACUCCAUUUAGUCAAUACUUCAAAAGGGAGGUACCCCUAUUAUUAUUUCAAUGUCAAUUAUGUGCUCUUUUGUGCCCUACGUGCUUCUAUGUGUUUAUAUAUUUU
rnacentral:lncRNA from 1 species